rnacentral:rRNA from 1 species
GACGAACGCUGGCGGCGUGCUUAACACAUGCAAGUCGAACGGAAAGGCCCUGCUUUUGUGGGGUGCUCGAGUGGCGAACGGGUGAGUAACACGUGAGUAACCUGCCCUUGACUUUGGGAUAACUUCAGGAAACUGGGGCUAAUACCGGAUAGGAGCUCCUGCUGCAUGGUGGGGGUUGGAAAGUUUCGGCGGUUGGGGAUGGACUCGCGGCUUAUCAGCUUGUUGGUGGGGUAGUGGCUUACCAAGGCUUUGACGGGUAGCCGGCCUGAGAGGGUGACCGGCCACAUUGGGACUGAGAUACGGCCCAGACUCCUACGGGAGGCAGCAGUGGGGAAUAUUGCACAAUGGGCGGAAGCCGGAUGCAGCAACGCCGCGUGCGGGAUGACGGCCUUCGGGUUGUAAACCGCUUUCGCCUGUGACGAGCGUGAGUGACGGUAAUGGGUAAAGAAGCACCGGCUAACUACGUG